GAUAAAGCCAAAGUUGAUGCUAUUGAAAAGAUGCCAUGUCCCAAGGACAUAAAAGGUAUAAGAAGUUUCCUUGGUCAUGCCGGUUAUUAUAGGAGGUUCAUUAAGGACUUUUCUAAAAUCUCUAGGCCUCUAACAAAUUUAUUGCAAAAAGUUAUUCCUUUUGUCUUUGAUGAUGAUUGUGUAGAAGCAUUUGAAACACUUAAGAAAGAUUUGAUCACUACACCUAUUGUUCAGCCACCUGAUUGGAAUUUACCUUUUGAAAUUAUGUGCGAUGCUAGUGAUUAUGCUAUAGGUGCUGUU
rnacentral:rRNA from 1 species